rnacentral:rRNA from 1 species
AUUGAACGCUGGCGGCAGGCCUAACACAUGCAAGUCGAACGAGUGGCGGACGGGUGAGUAAUGUCUGGGAAACUGCCUGAUGGAGGGGGAUAACUACGGGAAAAGGUAGCUAAUACCGCAUACCAUCAGAUGGGCACAGAUGGGAUUAGCUAGUUGGUGGGGUAACGGCUCACCAAGGCGAAGAUGCCUAGCUGGUCUGAGAGGAUGACCGGCCACACUGUAAAUGAGCCACGGUCCAGACUCCUACGGUAGGUAGCAGUAGGGAAUAGUGCACAAUGGGCGCAAGCCUGAUGCAGCCAGGCCGCGUGUAUGAAGAAGGUCUUCGGGUUGUAAAGUACUUUCAGCGGGGCGGCGUUACCCGCAGAAGAAGCACCGGCUAACUCCGUGCCAGCCGCCGCGGUAAUAC